AUGGAUGUGCCGAAUUUCCACUGCCUUUUUUCAUUUUUUGAAGAGGACUCGUUUGCUGUAGGGGACCUCAAGUGGGUAAACCUGAGUGGUUGCGGAGUGUCUAGGGACAAAUUGAACCCACAACAUUGGAAAAAAGAUACCCUGAUAACAGUGAGAUGGCCUGACAAAAAGGGCCAGUAUCAGCUCUACUCUGCGAAAAUUCUUAAAAUGUCAGCUGAUAAGCACAGUCUGAUCAAAUUAAGAGAUCAGCUUAUAAAGGGCUAUGAAAGCGAAGAGGACUGUGGUCGUGGAAAAAGGAAGAGAAAAGAUCUUUGUAUCUCUUCUGAUGAUGAAGAGCCUGCGGAGAAGGACACAAUUAAGAAAAAGCCUGAAAAGAGGCCUAGUCUCUUAUCAAAACUGCUGGAAAAGCGCAAGGAGCAGUUAAUUGACAGUACAGCUGUACAGGAAUGCACAAAUUGCUGUGCCUUGAAAGAAAAAUAAAGCGGCUGGAAGAAGACAACAGAAGAGUAGUUCUUCACUUGGACACCAUAAAUGAGUUGAAGAGCAUGGUGUGUGCGCUGAAGGGGGGCUUAAAAGAAAGAAGUGCCCUGGAAACCAAAAACCAGCCAUACUUGCACAUCCACACUCAUCGCAAGACAACCAAGUGGACGCCCUUGAGGAUGAUGUAAGUUUAGUUGUUGUUUUAAAGCACAAUUGGUUGAUAAAAUAAAAUUGUAAAAGCUGGAUAAAUUUCUUACUAU
ensembl:lncRNA